GUCUCUGUGGCGCAAUCUGUUAGCGCGUUCGGCUGUUAAUCGGAAAAUUGGUGGUUCAAGCCCACCCAAGGACG
rnacentral:tRNA from 1 species